rnacentral:rRNA from 1 species
AGCGAACGCUGGCGGCAGGCCUAACACAUGCAAGUCGAACGAACUCUUCGGAGUUAGUGGCGGACGGGUGAGUAACACGUGGGAACGUGCCUUUAGGUUCGGAAUAACUCAGGGAAACUUGUGCUAAUACCGAAUGUGCCCUUCGGGGGAAAGAUUUAUCGCCUUUAGAGCGGCCCGCGUCUGAUUAGCUAGUUGGUGAGGUAAAGGCUCACCAAGGCGACGAUCAGGAGCUGGUCUGAGAGGAUGAUCAGCCACAUUGGGACUGAGACACGGCCCAAACGCCUAGGGGAGGCAGCAGUGGGGAAUCUUGCGCAAUGGGCGAAAGGCUGACGCAGCCAUGCCGCGUGAAUGAUGAAGGUCUUAGGAUUGUAAAAUUCUUUCACCGGGGACGAUAAUGACGGUACCCGGAGAAGAAGCCCCGGCUAACUUCGU